UACGAAGGUGGCAAGCGUUGUUCGGAUUCACUGGGCGUACAGGGUGUGUAGGCGGCUUGGUAAGCCUUCUGUUAAAGCUUCGGGCCCAACCCGGGAAGCGCAGAGGGUACUGCCAGGCUAGAGGGCGGGAGAGGAGCGCGGAAUUCCCGGUGUAGCGGUGAAAUGCGUAGAGAUCGGGAGGAAGGCCGGUGGCGAAGGCGGCGCUCUGGACCGUACCUGACGCUGAGACACGAAAGCGUGGGGAGCAAACAGG
rnacentral:rRNA from 1 species